rnacentral:lncRNA from 1 species
GCCAAGCUAAAUGAACUGAGUCAUCAAUCUAAUAAGCAUGAGCUGGAAUGCUCAACUACAUCUAGCAAGAGCUGGCAUAUUAUUAUGACCCCAAGGAUUCAACAAGGAGCAAGAUAUGGCAGUCUUAUAUAAACAAAAUUUUCAGUUUCAAUUUCCUUCAUUUAGCCUAACUCUUGAUACACUGCACUUUCAAAUUGGAAUUGAGUUGUUGAGGAAUAGAAGUUGGAAGUUAAAGGAGAUUGGAAUCAUCCUAAAUCAAGAGGUAAGGAAUACAUCUGGUCAUUAUUUUAUUAGAUAAAGGUUAUACAUGAAAGGGGUAUAUGGCUAUGAGUAUUAGAUGGUGUGAUUGAUUGAAAAAUUCUCUGUAUUAGUUUUAUGUUGAUGGAAUUAGUUGUUAGAUGCUCAGAGAAUGAUUAUGAAAUUUGGGAUUAUAGUAUAUUAAAAGCUCUAUAAAACUAAACUUUUAAAUUUUUGCCCACCAAAUAUGUGAUAUAAUGUUUGAAAGAAGUUUACUAUCUAAACCUUUGGAAAUUAGAAGAUACAUAUCAUAUGUAUGUUAAGAAUUGAAGUAGAGUUGUUUCUAAGAGUUCUGAAUUGAUAAUAUGGUGAUUAUAAUUCAUGAUGCCAAGUGUUGGUGUUGGAAAUUCAAAAUAUGCAAAAAACAGUGUCUUGGUCUGUUGUCGAAGUGGCACGACCACGCCACUUCUCAAGGCAAAACCAGCGUGGCCGCACUGGUUCUUAUAAAUUGAAAAAUAAUUAUUUUGGAUUCUAAACUUCUGAACAGGUGUAACAGGGCCAUAUAUGUUUAGGAAGAUGUCUAUUAUAAUGUUCAGAUUGUAUAGGCAUGAAAUGAACUAUUAUAAUAUGAUUUCGAUGACUUUUCAACUAAAGAUUUGAUAUAUAAUUUGAAUAGUGAAUAUAAAGAACCUAACCUAGUUCAAAGGCCUCAAAGUCUAGUAUUUUUGUUCUGUAAUUGGUUGCUAAAGGAUUUUGGGGCAAUAGUGGAUAAGCAGUAUGAAGAAAAUUUCAACUCUAAGCUUAUCAAGGAGUAGCUCGGCCGCGCCACUCUCAAGGCAGACCAGUCAAGACAUUUUUGUUGUGAACUAAAGCUUAAGACCAAUCAUGUAUGAGUGUCUUAAUCAAUCACAAAACAUCAUAGUACUGUUAUUGAUUCAGACAUGUAUUAGCUUUACAAGUAAAAGAUUAUAAGGAAUUCUAAAGAAAUGUCUAAAGGAAAGUAAAUGGUUUUCUAGAAAAAUGAAAACAAAGGUGAAAAAAAAUAUGAGUUAUAUGUGUGUGGCUAUACAUAAAAAGAUAGUGUUAAACCAAUAUUAUUAUAAGUUAUGUAAAGUAAGAAAUGAGAAAGAAGUUCAUGAAAACUCAAUACUAUAUGUAUGAAAUGUAUAUAGUUCAAGUAACUAUGAUUCAUAAGCAUGAUAUGAGUGGUUGACUACUUGACUAGUACCUAUACAUGAAGAAUAUAAUUGUGUAGGAUACGUGAAAAGAGGUUAAGCUAAACUGUAAUUAUUAAGCUACGCAAGAGGCAAGUAUCCUAACUUGUUUUUAAUUAAACAAGUAUGCUGAAGUUUUAUUCAGUUAUAUGUUGAAAGUAUAUCAAUGAUUUGAUAUAAGAAUGCUAUGAUGCAUACUCGUUCAAUUUCAGUAUGCAUGAACAGUUUGAAAGAUAGUUUACGCCAUUUGUUCUGGCUAGAUACAAAUUAAAAUAUUUCAUUUCUUUUACAUUAAGUCUUGAAAUAUUAUUGUUGAUAUGUUUAAGUUGUCCAGCUAUAUUGAUUUAGUGUGAACUCCAGUCUGAGAAUGAACAAUCUCUGAAUUAGGAAGAUUUUAUGAGAGACAAGAAUGUUGAACCCGAAUGUAGUUCUGGAUAAGAUAGUAUUAAUCAAUACAUGACAUAAAGGGUUGAUCACUCACCGUGACUGUAAGAUAAGACGGUUCACAGAUGAAUUUAUGAUACAACCUUUUCAAGAAAUGAAAAUGAAUGUUUAUGGUCUUGUGACCACUCAGCAAUUCAAAAGUUGUUAUGUUGUUUCAAGAAUGCAAAUUAGUCGGGAUUUGUUUCAAUGGCUUUACAGUCUUGAUUUACUGUCAAAGCAUAUCUUCAAAAAAAUAUUUAUUUCUUGUUAUGAUUUAUGAAUUGCUAUUACUUAUUGAGCAAUUGAAUACUCAUUCUUGCUUGUUAUAAAUGUUUUCAGCUAAACAAGAUCGAAUAGAAGGUUCAGGAAAGAAUAAAAGAAAAAAUGGAAAGUUGUUGAGUAACUGGAAUUCUAUGUAAUAGAUAGUUUUUAUGUUUGUAAAUAUUUUAACUAUCAUGUAAUAAGCACUUAAAUGUCUUCGUACCUAGGGUAGAAAAAUACUGGUAUAAUAACUUACGUAUUUGAUAAUUUUAUAUGUUUGAACGAUUGUAUCGUGGAGUACCGAAUAUGAGUUUUAAGUACUCAAAUUUGAGGGCGUCACAUCUCAGCUAAAAAUUCUUCUUGAGUUAUCCUUUUUAAAAAAGAGUAUUAAUCAAAUCGAAAUACAUGUAAUUAAAAUAAGUUUCAAUCGAAAGGAGGCGUGCCCCACAAUAAACAAAGGAAACUAAAUGGUUCUUUCGUU